CGUUUCUCCAUAUAGGCUUUAUCAAUGGAUUAAAAAUGUUUGGUCCUUUUUAUACUUGUACCAUCAUCUUUUAUUUAAAUUUUUAUUACUAUUACCUGGCUUUUUACUUUAUUUUACUCUUGUCUUGUACUCCAAGAAUCCGAGGUGGGGAUCAUACCACAUAUGCCCUUGUCAUAGAGCAGUUAGCCUACCCUAUCAUCUGUGAGUAUAUUUUAUUAUACUUUUUAUGCUAGCAAUAUUUUACUGAGAGCACUAUUGCUGUUUUAUUAUCUUCCCUCUGAGCUCCUGUGACCAUCUCCAAGAUCACUCCUCAUAUAUCCCAGAAGCGGGGAUCAUACCGCUGCAAGCCUACCAUACUAGAGCUGGUAUAAGCUCUAUUAAAUGUGAGUGUAUCUACUAUUUUUUAUUACCUUUUAUCCACUGUGGAACAAACUGCACCAUUAUUGUUUCCAUUUUUAUUUCCCCCUUGGCUGUCUGUCACUGCAGGAUCGCUUGCAUUCGGUUCUACACCACUUAGAAGGGCACUGUUUGGUGGGAUUGUUUCCACGAACAAGGUGAACAAGCUCCAGGGUAAGAACAUUGGCUAUGUUCGGUAGUUUGUUUGGCUUUUAAACUACCGAACUAGAUUGACCGCAAGCCCUGAUUCUCUGGAACUGUUUUGGACAUGGGACCAUGAGUGCGGUCGGUCAAAUUAUGACUUCCAGAAAAUUCCUUAACCAAUCUGGGUGAUUUUUGGAUAUGUUGGUCACCCAGAUCGGGGCUAUCAGGGGAUGUAACUUUUGUGGGGGUUUGUGUGUCUAAAGGCAUUUUAAGGGUUUUUAAAAUAUGUAUGUUUUCUGUACCUGGAGAUAUUUGAGUUUAGUACAGUCCCUGACUCAAUUAUCUCCCAGGCACAGAGGAGGGAUUAUCUUGUUUUAUGUGGGAGUAUCCUGGACCUGAGAGCCAAUGUAAUUGUGUUUUUUACUGUAGUCUACUCUCAGGUCCAGGGGGGAGUGCCCUUUGCAUGGGGAACUGCAUAUAAGGUCAGUUGUGGCUACCAAUAAACGAGUUCCAGUUUACCCUCAACACAGAACCUCAUCUCGUGAUUGUAGAGGAAGGCUAUACCAGCUAUAAUCCCUGCUCCUGGGAUUGUUCUUUGGAUUGCUAUAAUCACUAGCUCUGCGAUACCUGCUAUACUCUCUUGGAGUAGAGGUCUUCUCACUGGGAGCUUGAUCCAGGAGUUUUGUCCAGCUGCAGCGGCUAAGGGGCUACAGUGCUUAUGGUGUCUGGUGCGGUGCUUAUGGUACUCGGUGACAGAUAGAAAGCAUUGAUUGGCAGAGGCACCCAAUCAGAGUGUCAGGCGGUCCGUCACAGGUAUUAUCUUCCUUCAGCCACUCAGAAACCACUUUAGAAUAUACCGAGACCCAUUUACCCCCAGGAACUGGACGAGACACAGCUCUGGAGGUACAACACCAUUUUAUUGGCCACACACGGCUGUUAUGCAUAACCCCAUGCAAGGGGUUUACCACACAACCAUACAGAGUCCCAUCCCAGGAUACUCCCCCUCCCCGGGGCCCUAGCACGAUUUCAAGAUCAGAGACAACAUGGGUUUACUUCAGGGAGAUCAUGCCCAACUAAUCUUAUUGAUUUUUUUGAUUGGGUAACUAAAAUAAUAGAUCAGGGUGGCGCAGGAGACAUUGCUUACCUAGAUUUCAGUAAGGCUUUUGACACUGUUGCACAUAGAAGGCUUAUCAAUAAACUGCAGCCUUUAAGUUUGGAUUCCAAUAUUGUGACAGGCAACAGAGGAUUGUAGUCAAUGGAUUAUAUUCAAAGCGUGGGCUUGUGGGGUACCUCAGGGAUAUGUACUUGGACCCAUUCUCUUUAAUAUUUUUAUUAGUGAUAUUGCAGAAGGUCUUGAUGUAAGGUAUGUCUUUUUGCCGCAGAUAUGUAACAGGGUUGAUGUUCCAGGAGGGAUAAGCAAAAUGGCAAAUGAUUUAGGUAACGUAGAAAAAUGGUCAGAGUUAAGGCAGCUGACAUUUAAUGUGGAUAAGUGCAAGAUAAUGCAUCUUGGACGUAAAAACCCAAGGGCAGAGUACAGAAUAUUUGAUAGAGUCCUAACCUCAACAUCUGAGGAAAGGGAUUUAGGGGUGAUUAUUUCUGAUGACUUAAAAGUAGGCAGACAAUGGAAUAGAGCAGCAGGAAAUGCUAGCAGAAUGCUUGGUUGUAUAGAGAGAGGUAUUAGCAGUAGAAAGAGGGAAGUGCUCAUGCCAUUUGUAACGGAUCACCUUCCAUUAAUGGACGCUUCCUAGCUUGCGCCGAGGACCACAAGCACCGCACUGGACACCACAAUAACCGCAGACUCCACAACUGCCGUAGCUUAACUGGAGCCUCGCCAUCUAAAGUCCACCCUGGAUCAGCUUCUGUCCUCCAGGACCGUGUGGGAAAGACAUAUAUUGCACUAUUGGAUCCUUUCUCUCCACAUAUAUCUGUAUCCUGCUCAAGACUGACAAGACGUGCCCUGCUGUAUAUAUCCUGAGACGGGGAUUGUUCCAUCUAUGCCAAAAAACAGCUGAGCUCUUAGUUAGCUCUGGGAAAUGUGAGUGUGACCAUAUUUGAUGCACUCAUAUAUCAGAUAAUUAUACUUGCGAUAUUGCACUAUUAUCUUCAUGUUCUUUUAUUUUUGAAGUCAAUUGCAUAUAGAUCACUGUAUACUUGUGUUCGUAUACAUAUUUAUUGUCUACGGCGCGGUUUCCUAUUUCCCCCUGUCUGCACAUAUAACAACCAGGUACCUCCUCAAGUCAUAUUCCCGGAUAGCCUGGACCUGAGCGCCCAAUAUAUUAAUAAACGCUCAGAUCCCAUGAACACAGCCGAAUCGCCACCGGGGUAAAGUUUUGACUGACCGCACACGAGGCGUCUGUCCAAAAUAGUUCCAGGAGAAAAGAGGUGGUGGUCGGUCUCUUUCGGGAGUUCGAAAACGUAUAAAAAACUGAACAUAUGCCAUAGCUGGUAUAUAGAUAGUGUUCACCUAAUCCAUGCGAAUGAUUCCACUGAACUGUUCUCUUCUAAGAUGUAAAGAAACACAGACAAGGAUGGAAGUUAAGCGGUGUUCUCGGGGUCGAGUUUCCUAUUUUAGUUCCAUGCACUCGACGACCAAACACCGCCACUGUUAUACGGAGUAAUAGCAGUGUUAUGAGGAACACAUUAUAUAGAGUAAUAGCAGUGUUAUAUGGAGCAUGUUAUAUUGAGUAAUUGGAGUGUUAAACAGAGCACAUUAUAUGGAGUAAUAGGAGUGUUGUUAUACGGAGUAAUAGCAGUGUUAUACGGAGCACAUUAUAUGGAGUAAUGGCAGUGUUAUACGGAGCACAUUAUAUGGAGUAAUAGGAGUGUUACACGGAGCACAUUAUAUGGAGUAAUAGGAGUGUUACACGGAGCACAUUAUAUGGAGUAAUAGGAGUGUUACACGGAGCACAUUAUAUGGAGUAAUAGGAGUGUUAUACGGAGCACAUUAUAUGGAGUAAUAGGAGUGUUAUACAGAGCACAUUAUAUGGAGUAAUAGGAGUGUUAUACGGAGCACAUUAUAUGGAGUAAUAGGAGUGUUACACGGAGCACAUUAUAUGGAGUAAUAGGAGUGUUACACGGAGCACAUUAUAUGGAGUAAUAGGAGUGUUAUACGGAGCACAUUAUAUGGAAUAAUAGGAGUGUUAUACGGAGCACAUUAUAUGGAGUAAUAGGAGUGUUAUACGGAGUAAUAGCAGUGUUAUACGGAGCACAUUAUAUGGAGUAAUGGCAGUGUUAUACGGAGCACAUUAUAUGGAGUAAUAGGAGUGUUGUUAUACGGAGUAAUAGCAGUGUUAUACGGAGCACAUUAUAU
rnacentral:lncRNA from 1 species